CCCUACCCUAAAUGCCCGGAGCAGGGACUGGGCUGGACUGCCCUUCCUCCAACUGCUCCUCUCUGAGUAACCCAGCCUAUUGUUUGUGUUUUUGUUUUGUUUUGUUUUUGUUUUGUUUUGUUUUUGUCUCUUAGCCACUCCCUCUUUCCCCUCUCCUCACAUAGCCUGGCUCGGUCCUGCCUUAUUCACUCUGGGCUCUCCCAGAUAUCUCUGCUUCUAGGUAUUUUCUCCUUCAGAGCUACAAUAAACCUUCUCCUCCAAUCAUACCUAGGACCUGGCAUUCCCUCCCUUUUACUUGCUCCCCACCACCCCCCAAUUCAUUCAGGAAGAAAGAAAUGAAGGACAACACCAACGGUGCUCAGAUAUAAUAGAGAAAGCACACUGCGCAGUCUUCAUAGCCUGCGGUGCCUAAGACACACAGGCAAACAAACGAAGAAG
rnacentral:lncRNA from 1 species